AGCAGCCGCGGUAAUUCCAGCUCCAAUAGCGUAUAUUAAAGUUGUUGCAGUUAAAAAGCUCGUAGUUGAAUUUCGGGAUUAGUACGUUGGUCGUGCCUUCGGUACGUACUGGUGUUACUGAUUCCUACCUUCUGACGAACCAUCAUGUCAUUAAUUUGGUGUGGUGGGGAAUCAGGACUGUUACUUUGAAAAAAUUAGAGUGUUUAAAGCAGGCUCGCGCUUGAAUACAUUAGCAUGGAAUAAUGAAAUAGGACGUUGACCCUAUUUUGUUGGUUUCUAGGAUUGACGUAAUGAUUAAUAGGGAUAGUUGGGGGCAUUAGUAUUCAAUUGUCAGAGGUGAAAUUCUUGGAUUUAUUGAAGACUAACUACUGCGAAAGCAUUUGCCAAGGAUGUUUUCAUUAAUCAAGAACGAAAGUUAGGGGAUCGAAGACGAUCAGA
rnacentral:rRNA from 1 species